AUUGAACGCUGGCGGCAUGCCUUACACAUGCAAGUCGAACGGCAGCACGGGGCAACCUGGUGGCGAGUGGCGAACGGGUGAGUAAUGCAUCGGAACGUACCUUUCAGUGGGGGAUAACGUAGCGAAAGUUACGCUAAUACCGCAUAUUCUGUGAGCAGGAAAGCAGGGGAUCGCAAGACCUUGCGCUGAUUGAGCGGCCGAUGUCAGAUUAGCUAGUUGGUGAGGUAAAGGCUCACCAAGGCGACGAUCUGGAGCGGGUCUGAGAGGAUGAUUCGCCACACUGGAGCUGAGACACGGUCCAGACUCCUACGGGAGUCAGCAGUGGGGAAUUUUGGACAAUGGGGGCAACCCUGAUCCAGCCAUGCCGCGUGAGUGAAGAAGGCCUUCGGGUUGUAAAGCUCUUUCGGCCGGGAAGAAAUCGCACGGGCUAAUACCCUGUGUGGAUGACGGUACCGGAAUAAGAAGCACCGGCUAACUACGUGCCAGCCGCCGCAGUAA
rnacentral:rRNA from 1 species